AUAAAAAAAUGUAAGGUCGUAAUAUUAGCCACUUUAUAGCACUCGAUUCACUUACUUUACUUAGAAAAUAAAAACAUUUUUUUCAUUGGUAGAUAGCCAAAUUAAUUGAUUUUUAUUGAUUCUCUUAGUCCUUUUUCAAAAUCUAUAAUUAC